UUGGAAUUUAGCGUUAGAGGAAAGCGGAUGUGAUUUACUGGAUGGCUGGAAAAUAAUAAAGAAGCAUCAUCAGCUUAAGCGAAAGAGAAAGGAAUUUCGAAAGGAAUUACAAAUACAUACAUAUGUAUAAAAAGAAAGAAAAAUAAAAGAAAACGUGCGUUAAACGAGCGAAAGAAUAAAAUAAAAAAUAAAAAACAAAUACACAGCAGAAUAAAAUAGACAUUCUAAAAAAGCUGUAGUUACAAAAAAAUAAAAAAUUUUAUACUAAAAAUAUACUUAUAAAGUGAAAGAAUUUCAAACGAAAUAGUAAAACGAAAUUCAAGGCAGCGCAAACGAGCGAAAGAAGCAGAUUUUUGCAGGCGGCGCGUAACCCAGAAAAAAGCUGAUCGUACGUGCAGCGAGGUUACGCACACAUUCAAGGAUUUGCUUGUACAGCAGUUUGUACUAUAAGUGCGCGCUGGAGCGCUUUGGUGGCACGUGGCGUAUGAGUAACGCGACCUUCAAACGCUACAAAACCAAAGUGAGCCUGAAGGAGUUUUUAACCAAAGACCAAAAAGAAGAAAGAACUCUGCAUUUUAUUAUCAAAAAAAAAAAAAAAACAGAGCGCAUUUUCUACGCAGUUCAACAAGCAAAAAGCAAGCACACGCCUGCCUCCUCCCAACAGCAACACAUACAAAGAAGGAGCAUUACAGAGGAGGUUGGGUCAGUCGUGACUAGGCUAAGAAGCAGCGAGAAAGCGAAGCGAUUGCACGCGCAAACAAGGAAGAUCCAACUUUCACGAGCCAAAAGACUGAGUUGCUACUAGUUUUUAGUAGUGAAAAAAUCUUUAAAAGAAGAAGCGAAGCGCCACCGAAAAAAGGACGAUCUACAGGCAGCAGCAGCAGAGCAGCAAGGAAAACCAACAGAACGAAAGAAAGCAGGCAACGAAGAAAUUUCGCCUUAAAGAAAUUAUUGCGGUUGCCUACUAACAGAGAGAAAAGCGCUGCGAGCGAGCAUUAACAGGAAUUUGUCGUAAAAAAGCAAGAGGUUUGUUUCCAAGUGAAAGAAAAGCAAGAACGGUUUUUUUGCUGCCUCGAAGUUGGCAGAAAAUUAACAAAAAAAAAAGAAGAGUUUUUAGAUAUACUCUGCUUGAGUAGCACGCUAGCAAGCUAGCAGUGGAUAGCAAAUAUACAUAAGUUCAAGCUGCGAAGCAACAAGCUGGGUAACAAAAGUAAUCAGCAAAGCAAGUGGUUACACAUAGAGCGUGAGGCAGCAGCCGAGGGAGGGGAUACCUACAAACAACAAAAAGAUAGUCUAAAAACUGCUGCUGUUGUAACCGUUCUUCGCUUAUUGUUUGCUUGUUUUUUUGGUCGCGUAAACUUUGUCAUCGCAUUCGAAGCAACGCGUGAACACUGGCUUGACAACGCCGGCUGCGACAGCACAGCGAUUAAGUCAUCGUUUUGUUGUUUAUGCAUACGAAAA